UGUGGUUUGUUUCCCAGUUCCUACCAGUUCUAUACUGAUAGAAAAACUUUCUUCCAACACUGUUGAUGCACAAGAAGUAGAACUUGUCUGAACAAUCCUACCUGCCAUCGUCCUUAUCAUAUUAGCCCUCCCAUCCCUCCAAAUCCU